UAGUAAUGGGCGAAAGCCUGAACUAGCGACACCGCGUGUGCGAAGAAGGCCUUCGGGUUGUAAAGCACUUUUAGAGAGGAUGAGGAAGGACGGUACUCUCUGAAUAAGUCUCGGCUAACUACGCGCCAGCAGCCGCGGUAACACGUAGGAGGCAAACGUUAUCCGGAUUUACUGGGCGUAAAGCGCGUGUAGGUGGUUCUGUAAGUAGGGCGUGAAAGCUCCCGGCUCAACUGGGAGAGGCCGUUCUAAACUGCAGAGCUAGAGGAUGGGAGAGGGAGGUGGAAUUCGGGGUGUAGCGGUGGAAUGCGCAGAUAUCCGGAGGAACACCAGUGGCGGAGGCGACCUCCUGGGCCACUCCUGACGCUCAGACGCGAAAGCUAGGGUAGCAA
rnacentral:rRNA from 1 species